rnacentral:rRNA from 1 species
CGUGGCGGCGGUGCUAUACUGCAAGUCGAGCGGACAGAUGGGAGCUUGCUCCCUGAUGUUAGCGGCGGACGGGUGAGUAACACGUGGGUAACCUGCCUGUAAGACUGGGAUAACUCCGGGAAACCGGGGCUAAUACCGGAUGCUUGAUUGAACCGCAUGGUUCAAUUAUAAAAGGUGGCUUUUAGCUACCACUUACAGAUGGACCCGCGGCGCAUUAGCUAGUUGGUGAGGUAACGGCUCACCAAGGCAACGAUGCGUAGCCGACCUGAGAGGGUGAUCGGCCACACUGGGACUGAGACACGGCCCAGACUCCUACGGGAGGCAGCAGUAGGGAAUCUUCCGCAAUGGACGAAAGUCUGACGGAGCAACGCCGCGUGAGUGAUGAAGGUUUUCGGAUCGUAAAACUCUGUUGUUAGGGAAGAACAAGUACCGUUCGAAUAGGGCGGUACCUUGACGGUACCUAACCAGAAAGCCACGGCUAACUACGUGCCAGCAGCCGCGGUAAUACGUAGGUGGCAAGCGUUGUCCGGAAUUAUUGGGCGUAAAGCGCGCGCAGGCGGUUUCUUAAGUCUGAUGUGAAAGCCCCCGGCUCAACCGGGGAGGGUCAUUGGAAACUGGGGAACUUGAGUGCAGAAGAGGAGAGUGGAAUUCCACGUGUAGCGGUGAAAUGCGUAGAGAUGUGGAGGAACACCAGUGGCGAAGGCGACUCUCUGGUCUGUAACUGACGCUGAGGCGCGAAAGCGUGGGGAGCGAACAGGAUUAGAUACCCUGGUAGUCCACGCCGUAAACGAUGAGUGCUAAGUGUUAAAGGGUUUCCGCCCUUUAGUGCUGCAGCAAACGCAUUAAGCACUCCGCCUGGGGAGUACGGUCGCAAGACUGAACUCAAAGGGGAUUGACGGGGGCCCCCAAAAACGGGGGAACAUGGGGUUUAAUUCGAAGCCACGCGAAAAACCUUACCAGGUCUUGGAAUCCUUUGAAAACCCUAGAGAUAGGGGUUCCCCUUCGGGGG